rnacentral:rRNA from 1 species
GAUGAACGCUGGCGGCGUGCCUAAUACAUGCAAGUCGAACGAGGUGCUUGAGUAGCAAUACGAGAGUAUCCUAGUGGCGAACGGGUGAGUAACGCGUGGAUGACCUGCCCCAAAGUGUGGGAUAACAGUCCGAAAGGAUUGCUAAUACCUCAUGUGGUUAUCGGUUUUAGAAAGCGAUAACUAAAGCAGCAAUGCGCUUUGGGAGGGAUCUGCGUCCCAUCAGCUAGUUGGUGAGGUAACGGCUCACCAAGGCGACGACGGGUAGGGGACCUGAGAGGGUGGCCCCCCACAAUGGAACUGAAACACGGUCCAUACACCUACGGGUGGCAGCAGUAGGGAAUAUUGCUCAAUGGGCGAAAGCCUGAAGCAGCAACGCCGCGUGUGCGAUGAAGGCCUCGGGUCGGUAAGACACUUUCUUAAGAGAU